AACCAUAGAAACCUGCGGAGUACCUGCGGAAGGAUCAUUAACACUUAUCUAUCCACCGCCGGCUCGCGUCCGUGAAAACGGCGCGACCGGCGUCCAAGCACCUUUGUGAUUUCGUUAAAGUCUUUCCAUGCAACCGGCUCGUCCGGCUGCAUGUUUUUAGCACCGUAUUCACCGUCUCGUCUAAAACGGCGAAGGCGCCGCCUGCCGGCAACCGGCCGGCUCUCAGGAGCCGUGUUUGCG
rnacentral:misc_RNA from 1 species